CUUGCUGGAGGGAGAGCACACAGAUGAGCGGGUGCAGAGGCCAGGAUGUGUGCUUCUGGGAAACUGGCAGGAACAGAACUCUACGGGCCUGCAGCAGCAUCUAUGGGUUGCCAGUUACUCCCAGAGUCCCAGAGGGCAUGUGUUACAGUGCACUCUUUUAGCUUCGCCAUCCGUGGAUGGCUUAAGUAUUAAACAGCUCAGCAGAGGCUCAGUGUGACAGUCUUUUGCACCUGAAACUGGGUCCUUGUCGGCACCCAGGAGGAGUGAGGAUGCAUGGACAAAUAGGAGGGUGGUGAAUGCAGAAGAUUUUAUUGCCUAUAGAAGUUGUUUCCAGCAGGAAGGAGGCACUGGGAAGGGGAUGGAGCGGGAAGUGGAACCUGAACAGUCUGCUGAAGCACCUGAUGUUUGGCCUUCCUGAAUGUCAUGUAAUACGUAUUCAUUUUUUCCAGCUGAAAAUAAAUAGAAUUGGAAAAAAAAGAAAUUAUGUAACGUGAGAGGAAAAAGCCUUUGAAGUGAACUCUUCUGGAAGUUUUAUGUUCAUUGCUAUCCUUUAGCUUUCCCAAAAUGCCCAUAAGCCAAAGAUUUCAUGUGUUAUUUCUGUAAUUUGGUAGUUUUCAUUUAAAUUAUGCAUUAAAAAUGAAUAUUCAUCCUAAAACAAUUGGAAUGAUUAAUUAUCUAAUGAAUUUUUCAUCUCACAGAAGGCAGUGUUUUAUGCCAACACUUACAUGGUUAAGAGGCUUUUAAGUUUCUUAGUUUUUAAAGUUCCUUACUUUUAAGUCAGAAAGACACAUUUAUGUUGUCAGGAAUCAAGCUAAAUUCCUUUAGUCCACAUUUCUAGUUUAGAUUUUCUACUUCUUUCUAGAUUUUAUUUUAAAACCUGCAUUUCAUUCACACCUAUAUUUUCAAGAAAUUAAUUAUAGAAAACUAAUACUAUUUACAAUGAGAAAUGUAUGUGGAAAAAUUAAUGGCAUAAAAAAUCAAGACUUGCUUUGGUUAACAGGUACAAAA
rnacentral:lncRNA from 10 species